UUAUAUCAGUUGAUUGUGUACACAUGUUGCUUUACCAUUCUUCACCGUUUUUUGGCCCAAUCAUGUUCAGAUUUGUGUAAUUUUUCUUAAAGCUUCUCCCGUUUGCACCGAUAAUCACUGCUUCAUCUUCUUCUUCAAUGUAAAACAACCAGGUCAAAGAUUAAUACAGGAAAAAAGAAGCAACAGGUCACUUGUGUGUGUGUUGUGUUCAAUCCAUCGGAAGGAAUACCAGUCGGAGGUCGCUUCCUCGCCGCCGAUUAUGUCAGCGUAACCUACUAUGAUGCUACAGCUCGAAUCUUCCAUGACUGACUCAAUUUGGGCACACGUUUUUCUCUCACCGCUUCCACCACUUCCCACUGCUCCCUUAACAUCGAUUUCACCCUUCAUUGCUAACUGCGAGAUCAAAGGAAGAGGUUGAAGACAACAGAUGUGUCGAUGUUGUUGCUGAUGGCCAGUGACGGCAUCACUGGAGGGCAGGAAUCACAGUCACUCACAUAACGAAUUGAUGGUGGUUGAGGGAUGGAUGAAGCAGUUGGUCGGUGUCGGUGCUGUAACAAGUGAAGCAGCUCAGCAUCGGUGGUUCUGGUCACUUAAGCGUGUAAUUGUGCAUGCGCGUUCCACCCGACGGCUGCUAGAAUGUAAUUUCUACUUAUUUCUUCCUAAAAUAGUUGGGCUCCAUAUUGGAAAGUUGAAAUGGGUUUAAUACACAUCUCCAGUAAAUAAUGAUUUUAUAGAGUAUUAUGGAGAAGGAAGCAAGUUUUACCAAAGAGAUUGGUGGUGGUUGAAACAGGAAUUGAAAGUGGAGGAACAAUGUUUAUCCAAGAGGUGCAACCAAAGAAACGAUAUACCUAAUUCAUGAAUUUGGAAAGAGAGGAGAUAUGACAUCUGUAAUGGUUGUUUUUUACUGUUGUCCCUUUUGGAAAAUUAAUAUCCUCCUUAUUAUUUACUUAUUUACUAAAUUUUUAUUAUUUCAUGAUUUGCCCCCUAUUCAAUAUUGUGAUUUGAAUAUACUAUUUUUUUUCCUUACUUUUGUUUCAGAUUUGUAAAUGUUAAGUGCUUUAUUGUAUAUGCACUAUAAGAACUAACUUAAUCAUACUAAAUAUCUUAGUUAUUUCCUAUUUUACCCCUGUUAUGUAAACUGAUUUUCCAGGUUGUUAUCCAAAAAUUAACAUCCUCUUUAUUAAUAACUUAUAUACUAAAUUUUUAUUGUUUCCUGAUUUGCCCCUGUAAUCAAUAUUGAACUAUCUAGAUUUUUUUCAUUUCGUUACAUGAAUAUGUUAAUUUCUUUCCUACUUCCUAUUUUACCCGUGUUUUUAUCAUUAUGUUUUCUAUGAUUUACUUUUAUCACUAUAGUUUGUAUCAUGCUAUUACUUUGGAAUCUGUAUAUGGGAUAUGUACGCAUUGAUAUGCCAAGUAAAGCAUCCUUCUGUUGAUAUCCAAAGUAGUCUAUUUCGAGUCUUUUCUGUUUAACUGUUAUGUCGUUUGAUGACCUGAAAUUCCAAAUAUGUUUGUUAUUUCCUAUUUUACCCUUGUUAUGUAAACUGAUUUUCCAGGUUGUUAUCCAAAAAUUAAUAUCCUCCUUAUUAUUAACUUAUAUACGAAACUUUUAUUCUUUCCUGAUUUGCCCCUGUAUUCAAUAUUGAGCUAUCUAGAGUUUUGUCAUUUCAUUAGAUGAAUAUGUUAAUUUCUUUCCUAUUUCUUAUUUUACCCGUGUUUUUAUCAUUAUGUUUUCUAUGAUCUUUUUUUGUCACUAUAUUUUCUAUCAUGCUAUUACUAUGGAAUCUGUAUCCAUCGAUAUGCUAAGAAAAAGUAUGUGACUCCCUAUCGUUUGACUACACGAAGUCCCAAAUUUGUUGGUCACUUCCUAUUUUACCCCUGCUAUGUAAACUGAUUUUUCAGAACCGUAAUUAACAAUGCUUUUGUAUUAUGUCUAACCUGCUAUAAUGGGAUAUCUGUGUAUCAUGAAUAUGUUAAUUUCUUCUUUAUUUCCUAUUUUAGGCAUGUUGCUCUCAUUCUCUUUUCUGUCAUUUUCUCUUAUCACCAUAUUUUCUAUUAUGUUAUUACUAUUACACAAAAUUAAUAUCCUCUUUAUUAAUUUUCGUGUAGCCAAACGACAAGGAUUCAUAUAUUUAAUUUUUUUCUCUAAUCACUAUGUUUUGUCAUUUUCUCUUAUCACUAUCUUUUCUAUCAUUUUCUAUUAUCACUAUAUUUUCUAUACAUGAAUAUCUUAAUUUUCUUCUUAUUUCCUAUUUUACAUAUUUUUUUAUUUUUUUUGUGAUUAUGUGACAGUUUUGUAACGGUUCAGAAGGAUACAAUGGAAAGGUUAUUUUGGAAUGUUGUUUGACUUUGCUUCAUGCAUUGUAGGAAAAUAUUUGGUCUUUAGGAAUAAAAACAACUGAAAUUGGAAAAAAGGAACCUCCAUUACCAAAUCUUCAUCCAAUGAGAGUACUUUUCAUUAUAACUAUUAACCGGAGAAAAUCCACCUUAGGUCUUGAUUUUUCCCUUUAUUUCACCAUUUCAAGAUUUUUCCUUGAAUAAAGUCUCUUUGUUCUGUUUAUUAAUUUUUCUAUUUUCAAUAUGUAUAUUGAUUGUUUUUAUAGUCUUUAUUUACAUUCUGUAUUAGACAAAUGGAGCUCCAACUAAAUAAAUGCAAUAUUUUUCCAAUAUUGACCUUUUUCCCUUCAACAAGCAUUGUAAUAAUGACUUUGGCUAGCAAUAUUUCUACAUAUUGUUACACUUAAACUUAUGUUGGAUAUUUUGUUUAGUAAUCAACCAUAUAAAGAUAUCAUAAAUCAACACGGGCUCUUAUAUAGUUUUGGAUCAUAAAUCCCCGGUUUAAUUAAAAAUUGAAACUUCAUGAAUGUUGCUUUAUAUUUACAACAAAAUCAUAUGUAUCUAGGUCGUCAAUUUAAUCAUUUUCUUAGAUUUAACAUAGGUAUCAGAAGUAUCAAGCGAGUUUUGGAGGUGUGGAAGAAGACAGAAAGGCUAACUACACUGAUAUGGUAAGAAAUUCUCUAUAAUUUAUAAGAAUGCUUCUAUUGACAAAAACAACUUAGAAUCCAAAAAAAUACACAAAAUAUAGAUGAUAUUGUAGCAAGCUGCUGAAAUUAUUUUAUUAUGAGAUGAGAAAAUUAAAAAAAUUUAUUUAUUAAUCAUCAAUAUGGUAUAAAUGAAAUUUGAUUCUUACUCUUACAAAUUUCAAAUAAAAUAUAGUUGCUAGGUUGAAAGACUUCCAGCACAGCUACAACCUGCCUUUUUGAUCGGUUACAGCCAGAGCCACAUGCAACAUCCUAAUAGGAUUGUUGAAUUGAAAUUCAAUGGAAUUGCAGGAACUUGCUUUUAGUUCUUCAUUAUUUGUGUUAGAUAGGUUUGAGUGGUUGUUGUUUUAAUAUAUUGUAUUUUGGAUUAAGGUUGUUGUUUUAAUAUAUUGUAUUUUGGCUUUGUAAUUGAGAUUUCAUUUUGAAAUAGGACUAGAAAUUUUAACUGGCUGAUAAGCAAUGGGGCAACUUUUACCACUUAAAACUUCAUGCUAACAGUACCAGUGUUGUAGUUGAGUGUGUGAAUGGCUUUCUAUGCUUUGCGUUUACGGGGCUGUUCAUCAUAUGAAUCCAAAAGGACUUAAAGACGGUGACAAUUUCAAGGCAAGCUAUUUACAAUUUUUGUCGGAUGAAAUAUCAUAGUAUUGAAAAGGAUAAAUUGUAGGAAAUAGAAAUAUAUGUUGUUCUUGAUAAAAAAAAAAAAAAAAAAAAAAAAAAAAAAAAAAAAAAAAAAACAUCUUUUUUAUUUCCUUAUUUAAUAGAUGUAUAACCCUUUCUUUUGCAUUCCUGCGAGUACGUGGUCGUCUUGAUCCCCUUCUGACAUAUCUCGAUAUUUAAAAUGUGAUCCAGUUUUUUUUUAAAUAUUUAUACGUUGCUAUUUUAUAGGCGGUAAAAUUUGUGUUAUUUGGUUGUUUAUAAAAAGUACGUCACUAUUUAUUCUUUUUAAUAAAGAGAUUCAUUGUUUCUUGUAAUAAUUUACAUUGCUAUUGUAUAUUUUUUUUUUUUGGAACUUACAUAAUUGGUGGUUUCUAAUGAGCAUAAUAGAUACCUGGCAUAUAUGUUGUAUUUAUUUUAUGAUGUCAUCAAACAAAGUACAUUGCUAUAAUAAAUGCAAUAUGAUGUAUUUACCAUGAACAUGGAUAUCUAAUAUCAUAUAUGCAUUUUGUAGGCUCUUGCUUUCAUUUAUUUUUUUACCAAAUUAGUUAACGUUGAAAUUGUGCCAUACACCUAAGUAUGAUAAACAAGGUAUUGUAAUUGGAAAUGUCUUGACCAAGGUUGUAUCGGAUUAUGACAUCAUGAAUGAUUUGAUGAGUGCUGGUUUGCAUAGGUUGUGGAAAUAGAGGUAAAGUGUAACAUUUUACUUUUGUUUUACUUUUUUUUCUAAAUAUUCUUUCAUUUGUUUAUUAGGGCUAAUUUAUGUUCAGAACUACUUCAAGCAAAUGUAAGUUGCUUAAAACUUUUAUAGUACUUAAUCUCGGUUUGAUAAAGAAAUGGAAAAGAUUUGCAAAAAAAACCCAACCAUGCAAAGGAAUGGAGGUCUUUCAGAUGCAGAAGUUGGAUCAAUCAGAGAUGCUCAGUCAUUGCUACAAGUUCUCAUUUUAGUAUUUUUUUUUUGGCUUUUUUUUAUUCCCAAAUAUAGAGUCGAAUGCCGUAAGUGGUUCACUAACCAACCAUGCCUCUGAAACAGGUGGUUAGUACACCUCUCAGUUUGUUGAAUCAGAUUAAUAAAUAUAUUGCACCGAGAUUGAUUCCCAGUUUAAUAUCGACAAAGACACUGUGCUGAUGCUCGACAUGUUCGAUAUGAUGCCGGAAAACAUGACAGCAGACAUGAAAAUAUGCAACAAGAUCGUGCAAGACCAUCCAACACCAUAACAAAAGCAGCAUCAACCACUUCUACAACAUCCACCGCUUUUGCAUGCAGUUCUGUAAUGAAAAAUUAUCAACCACUUCACAACAUCCACAACUCUGUAAUGAAAAAUUAUGUAACCGCCAUCUAAUGAAUGAAUAUCUUUUAAUCCA